AAAUGUCACAAUGCACUGUCCAGAGAAUGACUUUACUGCAGCUUUAGCAACAGCUUCAUUUGUCUUCCUGUAGGUGUCCAGCUCACGCAGUAGCUGCAGAUCAUUUUUUCUGUUAAGCUGUUUUUGUUCAAAAAGGAAAGUU